rnacentral:rRNA from 1 species
UACGUAGGGGGCUAGCGUUGUCCGGAUUUAUUGGGCGUAAAGAGCGUGUAGGCGGCCAGGUAGGUCUGCUGUGAAAACUCGAGGCUCAACCUCGAGACGUCGGCGGAUACCAUCUGGCUAGAGUCCGGAAGAGGAGAGUGGAAUUCCUGGUGUAGCGGUGAAAUGCGCAGAUAUCAGGAAGAACACCCGUGGCGAAGGCGGCUCCCUGGUCCGAUUCUGACGCUGAGACGCGAAAGCGCGGGGAGCGAACGGG